UACACUCCUGCGGGAGGCAGCAGUGGGGAAUUUUACGCAAUGGGGGAAACCCUGACGUAGCGACACCGCGUGAGCGAAGAAGCCCUUUGGGGUGUAAAGCUCUGUCAGCUGGAACGAAAACAAUGACGGUACCAGCAGAGGAAGCAUCGGCUAACUACGUGCCAGCAGCCGCGGUAAGACGUAGGAUGCGAGCGUUGUCCGGAUUUAUUGGGCGUAAAGAGUUCGUAGGUGGUUUGUUAAGUUUGGUGUUAAAGAUCGGGGCUCAACCCUGGGACUGCACUGAAUACUGGCAGACUCGAGUGUGGUAGAGGCUAGUGGAAUUCCCAGUGUAGCGGUGAAAUGCGUAGAUAUUGGGAAGAACACCGGUGGCGUAGGCGACUAGCUGGGCCAUAACUGACGCUGAGGAACGAAAGCCAGGGGAGCGAAUGGGAUUAGAAACCCGAGUAGUCC
rnacentral:rRNA from 1 species